rnacentral:lncRNA from 1 species
AUUGUCAGGUUUUUCAUAGCUUAUUAAUAAGCAAUAUAUAUGUAUAUAUCAAACAUAUAGAAGAGAGAAAGCAUAUGAAAAUCUUCAAAUAAUAGCUAAAAUAAGUUUAUUACAAUAUGCUAUACAGAACAAAACACCUGAAACUACAUACACUCAUUCACAUCACAACAACCAGCUUCCAUACACUCAUUCACAUCACAACAACCUGUUUCACCAUUGAAUCUUGCAUACCCAGGAACUUCAAACUUCAAUUAGAUCCACACAAUCAUAAAUAUUGGGAUCUACAAAUAAACCGCUACUCUUGGAUACCACAAAACAUGCUCUUAAACAUAGAAAGAAGUCAUCAACGGAGUUCUACCAACAACACAAGCUCCAUUCACCUACAAGAACAGAAUGGAAUAUCAAGUACUUGGAUCGUUCAAGCAGAUUACAACCAACAUAUAUAUGUAGAAGUACAUCAGGAAAUAUGAUGGAGCAAAUCAGACAACAGAUACACUUAUACAGCCCAAUAAAUGGGUGAUGACGACAAGUAAAAAAUAUACUCCCAGGUUUGGACAUAAAUAGUAUCAGAUCAAGCAGAAGAUAAUAAUCAAGCAGAAGAUAAUAAGGCAGUAAACAUAUUGUCACAUCCUCUUUGACCCUCUUCAGAUCAAUUAAUCUACAUAGCUUCAAUUUUCUUUGUGCUUUACAGCAAAGAGCAAAACUAAAGAGAGAAAAGCAUAGUUGAUGAUGGAUUGGUGAAUUACCUCGAUGGCGUACUUGAUGGUAAUAUCCGUCCUUCUGGAGCUAGUAGUGUUUGUCCACAGACAUAAGCAUAGAAAAGAAAACAUGAUUUCAGCAAAACUAAAACUGUCAAUGAAAGUUGAAUAACAAUGCAGCAGAUUAGCUCUUAGCAUGGAGGAACAUCACCAAAUUAAACAAGAUGGCUGUUCAAGUUUCUAUAUGAGUAUUCAUGAUUUCAGUUUGUCAUCAUCGUUUAAAUAGCUUGGCAAAUAUUGACAGCAAACAAACAAAAAAUUGAAGCCUAUAGCUUUGUGAGCAUGCAGUAGAUUGUUCACAUCCUAAUGAAAUACAUGGCAAAGAAGCUUGAACUAUACUAGCAACAGAAAUCAGUCAGCAGUAUCUUGAGAGUGACUGAUGGUUGUUUCAACAAACAAACAGUUUCUUGACAUCUUAACAUGGACCAAAGAACCGUUGUUACUUCACAAUGCAGAUAAAUAGAUCGACUCUCGCAAGCAAGGACCUGACCUCUCCUUUAGGAAGAAGAGGUUUCAGUUUUCUUAUCACAAAUUUGAUGGCUAAUGUGGUGGUGUAGUAAGCAAACAUUUUAGUUUAAUUUAGCACACCAUUGUUUAAUUAUUCUUUUCAGGAUGCUUUCACCAAUGACGUAGUGUGAAUAAUACGAGAAAUAGAGAAAUAACACUGAAAUUUUGAGACUAAACAAAUGCACUAUGUACCAGAUCGAACACUCUUAAAUCAAAACCAAAAAAUAUACCAUCUAUUAUUAAUCUUACAGAAAAGCACUCAAUCUUCACUUCCAUCGCUCCUUCAGGUUGCAAAUCUCUGUACACGCAUUUCUAGAAAUACAAAAGUACAAAAUCCAUCAUCUCUGCUGUAAUAAGCGAAAAACACUCAGCACCAAUGAAAUUGUUGCUUGCAAACCCAAAGAAGGGAAACAGAAGGGUUAAUCAUACAACUAUAUUAAGAAGUCAAGUAAUAAUUGAAUGAGACAUCAAGGCAGUAAUGAAGCCUUGAUGUUCCCUCGACAAGGUUUCGAUAUAUACGGAUAUACCAUAUUAUUUUGGUACAAUUUCGUUAAAUACCACAUAAAAAAGAGCAUAUACUUGAUAAAUUGAGUAGGUGAUAAAUUUUCUUAACUAUAAACUAACACCACCAACACUCAUUCCAAUUCUGUAGCACAAACAGUAAGGUAUUUACCCAAACUGUACCACUAUAGCUAGCGCAAACACUUGCAUGCAUUAAUGUUCAUUCUGUAGUAGCACACUAGCUUGCGGCACAGGGCCACCAAGCCUUUAUAUAGGAGCACUGUACAAGUACGCACAUCACUUGCAUGCACAAAUCACUCCUAUGUAGUAGACUAGUAGUAGCACACUUGCUCUUGGCAACUAACUUUAAUAUGUUCACUGUUGGUCUAAUGCGUAGAUGACUAGGGGAGAUGCAUGCAUGCUGAUGACCAAGUCACUAUAUAUUGCAGACAAACACAUCAUCCCAGGAUGAUUGGGGCUGUAUGAUUUUUGUAUGAUAAGCAUCAACAACAAAUGGAAGUUAGUUUUUACCGGCUUCUUGUUUACUCCUAGUUGUGCCCACGUGAUGACUUAAGCAACUCCUCCAAGGUUCCAUAGCCACCUGUCAAAUUAACUGAAUGUCAAAACACUUGUUGAAGAACUGUAUUUAGAAAUUUCUUUCACUUAUGGAAGAAUUGUACGGGUACUUAGUAAAGCAAUAAAAGCGUCAACAAACCAAGCCAUUUCUCCGUUCCCAUCCUGUAUGCCAGAAACAACUCUAUAGGAGCAUGGAUCAGGGAUAGUAAGAAAUUAAGCAUCCAGCUGUAAUAUAACUUGACCUACAUGAUCACCUAAUACCAAUAGGAGCAUGGAUCAAGUUUGAUCUAGUAAACAAUAGUAUAAACCUGACGGGUGGCAAUAAUGUACUACUAAACAGUAGUGCUCCCCCAGCCAGCUUGUUGCGGCUCGGCAGAGUGGGGACCCAACACUCCCCAACCCCACAAGACCCGGAGCAAGCAAACUAACAGUAGGGUGAAAUUGAUAUCUAUCAAGCCUCUACAGAUUUGGUAAAUAAAACAGACAAAUUUAAGUUGCUGAUGCAGUACAAGUCGAAUAAAAAUGUUGCAGAUUGGUUUGUGGGAAUUUAACACCAAACCAAUUUCAUUUUCAAUUUUAGGAACGCACAUACAAACUGAAGUAAACCAAAUCCCCCAAUAAUGUGUGUCAAAUGCUGUCCAAACUGAAACUCAACUGCAGGUAUCCCUCUCCUAUGUUACAACCAAACUACAUGGCCGGAUUGGAUCAGAUUGGACCAACUCAAAUCAGAACAGCUGGCUAGCAAGGAAGGGAAGGGGUCGUCCUUCUCUUAUCACAACCGUGGUUGUACCGCUGCAGCUUUUGAUCUUCACUGCCACGUGUCGUUGUACGUGCUGAAGAAGUCGCGUACAUCUCGCCAAGGAGGUCAUGGAAUGCGAGAUGCACUGUAGACCAUGAGAAGGAACACAUCUUCCCUGCCUCGCUCGUCACAUAUCAGCUGCUGUAGGGUGACCCGCGCCAUGGAUGCCAUGGGAGGAGUGCGGCCUGGUGGAUCUGGGAGGAAGGGGGAGUAUGUGAGGCGAGGUUGAACAAUUUGAGGGAGACCGAAACCCUAGCCAUGGGUUGGAGAGGGCUGGAUGGGUGGGGGAUUCCGCGGAUCUGGCAGCUCCCAGUGCUGUAAGGUGAGAGCAGGUCGUGGGGUAGUAGGUCGCGGGUGCGGCCCCACGGAGCGAGACUCUCCUAGCCACGGCGGCGCGGCCCCUCGGCGCCGCGAAGGCGGCUGAGAAGGAGGGGAACACCGUCGAGGAGGCAGUGGCGAGGGCGGGGGAGCGCGAAUGCCAUGGUUGCGAGGAAGGGGUCGAUGGCGGCUGCAGCGGUGUGCGCGCGGGGUUGGAUUGAAUUGGGCCAGGGUGAGGGGAGGGCGCGGUAGUGUGCGGCGGCGGCGGCGUGGGUCAUCGACGGUGAGGGAGGGGCGUCGGCUGCAGGAGUGGACAGGAGGGGUGGGGGAGGGAUCUGGAUCUGGUUGGGGGAGGAGGGGUGGCGGAGGAGGGAUUUGGAUCGGGAAGAGGAGAGGCAGCUG